UACGAGGGGGGCGAGCGUUUGUUCGGAAUUAUUGGGCGUAAAGGGUGCGUAGGCGGUUCCGCAAGUCCUGUGUGAAAUCUUCGGGCUCAACUCGAAGUCUGCACGGGAAACUGCGGGGGCUUGAGUGUGGGAGAGGUGAGUGGAAUUCCCGGUGUAGCGGUGAAAUGCAUAGAUAUCGGGAGGAACACCUGUGGCGAAAGCGGCUCACUGGACCAUAACU
rnacentral:rRNA from 1 species